rnacentral:rRNA from 1 species
AUUGAACGCUGGCGGCAUGCUUUACACAUGCAAGUCGAACGGUAACAGGCCGCAAGGUUCUGACGAGUGGCGAACGUGUGAGUAAUGCAUCGGAACGUGCCCAGUCGUGUGGGAUUACGCAGCGAAAGCAGCGCAAAUACCGCAUACGAUCUAUGGAUGAAAGCGGGGGACCGGAACGCCCCGUCCACUUGGAGCGGACGAUGGCAGAUAAGGUAAUGUGUGGGGUAAAGGCUCACCAAGCCAACGAUCUGUAGCUGGUCUGAGAGGACGAACAGCCACACUGGGACUGAGACACGGCCCAGACUCCUACGGGAGGCAGCAGUGGGGAAUUUUGGACAAUGGGCGCAAGCCUGAUCCAGCAAUGCCGCGUGCAGGAAGAAGGCCUUCGGGUUGUAAACUGCUUUUGUACGGAACGAAACGGUCCUGGUUAAUACCUGGGGCUAAUGACGGUACCGUAAGAAUAAGCACCGGCUAACUACGUGCCAGCAGCCGCGGUAACAC